rnacentral:rRNA from 1 species
UACAGAGGGUGCAAGCGUUAAUCGGAAUUACUGGGCGUAAAGCGUGCGUAGGCGGUUUGUCGCGUCGGGAGUGAAAACCCAGGGCUUAACUCUGGGCUGGCUUUCGAUACGGGCAGACUAGAGGUAUGCAGGGGAGAACGGAAUUCCUGGUGUAGCGGUGAAAUGCGCAGAUAUCAGGAGGAACACCGGUGGCGAAGGCG